GUGUACCUAUGAUAAAAAUGACAGACCUCUACAUGCUUUGUAAGUAGGAAACCUGCAAAAUCGGCAGUGUACCGAAUACUUGUUCACCCCACUGUAUCUAUCGCGGCUUUGAUUGGACUGAUCAAGUCAACAUCCAGCUUUCAAAAUCAUAGCUCGCAAGCUAGACAAGCAGUCAUCAUCAUGACUCACGUUGACAAUCUACUGUCAAAUCCUUUUCAAGCCUUGUCAUAUGAAGAGAUACUAUAGAUAAAACGUAUAAGUGCAAAUCGGCCAUUAGACAUGAACAUUACACAACAAGUUGGAAAUUGCAAAUUCAACAAUGAGAGGUUGAGAAGGAAUCCGGGGCUAAUUUCAAAUAACUACCCUGCUAUUCAGUAGACUUGUGUGUGGUCAAAAUCUGGGUUUAAGGGUCUUAUUCCAAAAUUAAAAGGAUAAACUUUCAACACCAAAGGCCAGAAAAAGUUGAAUACAUUGGCCUUGCUGUCAAUCCAGAAUGACUUUUGCCAUGUUCAAAACAACUAGAAACUCGGAACUGGGAAAUCUCAGACUUCAGUGAGUUCAAACAACUAGGCAUUUUGGAGAAAAAAAAAGAGCUCUGACAGGGAAAAUACGUUUUGAACCGUCAUCCAACUCGGAAUUCCAAGUCGGGAUCUUUAGAGUUCCGACCUGAAAAUUACUGACAUCAUGAUUCGACCAGUUUUUUUUUCUUGAGUUCCCAGUUGUCUUGGAAGCACCAUAAAUCACCAUAAAUCCAGAGAAUGCCAGACUUUGAUGCCAAAGUUUGAUGACAAGAUGUGCCCAAAAGAUGGACUGCAGCGCCUCCUUCCUGUUCAAGUGAGCAUAGCACAACAAGUGACAUCUUGCCUGAUAAAUACCUAGAUGGUCUUUUUCGGGAGCAGUGCUUGCAAGAGAACGUGUACAUCAACAUUCAACAUUAAUUUGUUAUUUGAAGACACUCAUUAUCAACAGGUAAAGGCUAUGAAAACUAGACCAUUAAAAUCUUUCAAAUGAGUGAACAAAAAGAUGAGCCCUUCACUUCAAGUUCCUGAAGCAUUACUUGAAACGCGAGGAUUACAGCGCAAGCGGCUGGGAAGACAUAAGGACAGUGGUGCUGGCACACCUACAAAGACUAGACACAACAUUAAGUAGCCAAUGAGCGUUAUGUUUGUGUUGUGUAGAUAUUAUUUAUUUAAAUACCUAUUUAUUUGUUUUAAACUUAUUUAUUUAUAGUGUAGUAAUGUAUUCACAACUCUGUGGACUAAAUCCUUUUUCAUACUGGAUACUCGUGUAUUUGAUUUAGGCUAUACAUAGCCUCAUGUAAUAAUGUUUUCGUACAUUAAUUUUUGUAUUUAUGAAGGCCAUUGCAUACUGUAUUUAUUAUUGCCACCUUAUAGGAAAUGU